UGGUGAUGGUGUGCCUGAUUAUUGGUAGUAGAACCUUCGCGACACGAAUUUUCGUCUGAAAAGAAAAAAGCUGUAACCAGCGGGCUGCGAAAAUCCGAAAUAUUUAUUAAAACGAAUUUAUUUGCAAUAUGCAGUUAUGUACAGCAUGGGGUAAAGUCGGAUCUGCCUGUAUUGUACGUGCCGCGCAAACCCUAAACAUACAGAAUUUUUACUGGAGUUGACAACUUGGCACGGAUGUUGAUGUUACUCGAUUAUGCUGCGGUGCAGCAGUUUAAUCUUGAAUUCGCAGGGAUUUACCAUCACCAGUUCAUGUUCGAUUUUCUGGAGUUUUCUAUUCGAAUUUCUGGAGUUCACUUUUCAAAAGAAAUUUAAUCUUGAAUUCGCAUUCGAUUCUCUGGAGUUUACUGUUGGAAAGGUGAAGAUUGUUUGAGAGUGAAGAUUGUUGUUGAGAGUUAAGAUUUGUUUUCCAUUCAAGAUUUAGAAUUUCCAUUCAACAGCUUUAGCUUUCGUUUGGAAACCCUAAGUCACCGUUUUGAUUGAACAAGUUUCAAUUCUCAACAAGAAGAUUGCGAAGAUUUCCGUUCAAUAUCUUUGCAUUUUUCACAGUAAAUUGAGUAACAUUUUAUGUUGGACGAUAUGUCUGGGCUCUAAAUCUCAUUAUUUUGAGGAAAAAUCAUAUGAAGGCUCAACCAGAAAUUUGUAACUGAUUAA